rnacentral:rRNA from 1 species
GAUGAACGCCGGCGGUAUGCUUAACACAUGCAAGUCGAACGGACUCUUCGGAGUUAGUGGCGGACGGGUGAGUAACGCGUGAGAAUCUGGCUUUGGGUUCGGGACAACCACUGGAAACGGUGGCUAAUACCGGAUGUGCCGAGAGGUAAAAGAGAAAUUGCCUGAAGAUGAGCUCGCGUCUGAUUAGCUAGUUGGUGAGGUAAAGGCUCACCAAGGCAGCGAUCAGUAGCUGGUCUGAGAGGAUGACCAGCCACACUGGGACUGAGACACGGCCCAGACUCCUACGGGAGGCAGCAGUGGGGAAUUUUCCGCAAUGGGCGAAAGCCUGACGGAGCAAUACCGCGUGAGGGAAGAAGGCUCUUGGGUUGUAAACCUCUUUUCUUAGGGAAGAACAAAAUGACGGUACCUAAGGAAUCAGCAUCGGCUAACUCCGUG